UCACCAGCUCGCCCGUGCCGGCCCGGGCCUCGCCCGGUUCCAGGCCGCGCACGGCCUGUUCGACCCGGGCCGGGUCGGC
rnacentral:tRNA from 1 species